ensembl:snoRNA
CUUGCCCCUAGAAGUAUUGCAUGUGUGGCUGCUCUGUCACAUAUGUCAGAGUCCGCAGAGGAGAGGUUCAGUUUUCUGACUUAUGAAUAUCUGAAUGAUUAGUAGCGUAACAAU